rnacentral:rRNA from 1 species
UACGUAGGGUGCGAGCGUUAAUCGGAAUUACUGGGCGUAAAGCGUGCGCAGGCGGUUAUUUAAGUCAGGUGUGAAAGCCCUGGGCUUAACCUAGGAAUGGCGCUUGAGACUGGAUAGCUUGGAGUGUGGCAGAGGGAGGUGGAAUUCCACGUGUAGCAGUGAAAUGCGUAGAGAUGUGGAGGAACACCGAUGGCGAAGGCAGCCUCCUGGGCCAGCACUGACGCUCAUGCACGAAAGCGUGGGGAGCAAACGGG